GAUGAAGAACGCAGCGAAAUGCGAUAAGUAAUGCGAAUUGCAGAAUUUCCGUGAGUCAUCGAAUCUUUGAACGCACAUUGCGCCCCCUGGUAUUCCGGGGGGCAUGCCUGUCCGAGCGUCAUUACAACCCUCAAGCUCAGCUUGGUGUUGGGCCCCGCCGCCCCGGCGGGCCCUAAAGUCAGUGGCGGUGCCGUCCGGCUCCGAGCGUAGUAAUUCUUCUCGCUCUGGAGGUCCGGUCGUGUGCUCGCCAGCAACCCCCAAUUUUUUUCAGGUUGACCUCGGAUCAGGUAGGGAUACCCGCUGAACUUAAGCAUAUCAAUAAGCGGGGA
rnacentral:misc_RNA from 1 species